AUUGAACGCUGGCGGCAUGCCCUUACACAUGCAAGUCGAACGGCAGCACGGGAGCAAUCCUGGUGGCGAGUGGCGAACGGGUGAGUAAUGUAUCGGAACGUACCUUUCAGUGGGGGAUAACGUAGCGAAAGUUACGCUAAUACCGCAUAUUCUGUGAGCAGGAAAGCAGGGGAUCGCAAGACCUUGCGCUGAUUGAGCGGCCGAUAUCAGAUUAGCUAGUUGGUGAGGUAAAGGCUCACCAAGGCGACGAUCUGUAGCGGGUCUGAGAGGAUGAUCCGCCACACUGGAACUGAGACACGGUCCAGACUCCUACGGGAGGCAGCAGUGGGGAAUUUUGGACAAUGGGCGCAAGCCUGAUCCAGCCAUGCCGCGUGAGUGAAGAAGGCCUUCGGUUGUAAG
rnacentral:rRNA from 1 species